UUACACAAAUAUGAAGGCGGGCUGGAACCUCUCGGGGUUACAGCCUUGCUGAAUUAUUCACCCUUGUCUUUUGCGUACUUCUUGUUUCCUUGGUGGGUUCGCCCACCACUAGGACAAACAUAAACCUUUUGUAAUUGCAAUCAGCGUCAGUAACAAAUUAAUAAUUACAACUUUCAACAACGGAUCUCUUGGUUCUGGCAUCGAUGAAGAACGCAGCGAAAUGCGAUAAGUAGUGUGAAUUGCAGAAUUCAGUGAAUCAUCGAAUCUUUGAACGCACAUUGCGCCCUUUGGUAUUCCAAAGGGCAUGCCUGUUCGAGCGUCAUUUGUACCCUCAAGCUUUGCUUGGUGUUGGGCGUCUUGUCUCUAGCUUUGCUGGAGACUCGCCUUAAAGUAAUUGGCAGCCGGCCUACUGGUUUCGGAGCGCAGCACAAGUCGCACUCUCUAUCAGCAAAGGUCUAGCAUCCACUAAGCCUUUUUUUCAACUUUUGACCUCGGAUCAGGUAGGGAUACCCGCUGAACUUAAGCAUAUCAAUAAGCGGAGGAAAAGAAACCAACAGGGAUUGCCCUAGUAACGGCGAGUGAAGCGGCAACAGCUCAAAUUUGAAAUCUGGCUCUUUUAGAGUCCGAGUUGUAAUUUGCAGAGGGCGCUUUGGCUUUGGCAGCGGUCCAAGUUCCUUGGAACAGGACGUCACAGAGGGUGAGAAUCCCGUACGUGGUCGCUGGCUAUUGCCGUGUAAGCCCCUUCGAC
rnacentral:rRNA from 1 species